CUCCAUUAAAUCAGGAACCUUGUUGCUUCUGGUAUCUGGGGUGUCCCACCGCUACCCCCAUGUGAGUGCCUGGCACAUAUAGAUACUUGAUACCUGCUUGCUGAAUAAAUGAAUAAGUGCAACUUGACUGGAUGAUGAGAGGCACAGCUGAGUCCGGAGCAGACUGAGCCACCUAAGAGGGGAGGAACCGCUGCAGAGAAACCGUGUUAAGCCUUUUUGAAGUUCCAGAGGGAGAACAAGAGAGCGGAGGCUCCUGGUGGCUGGUGACAGCUGCUCUUGGCUGGGAGAGCAGAGAACAGGGGACAGGAGAGAAGCCCCGAGAGUACUGAAGCUGAGGCUGGGGCGGUCUUCACUUCCCUCUUUCCUCGGCCCUUUUCCUGUUCUCUUGUCUUGUCUCUCUUUCUCUACUUUCCUUCUCCCUAGCCCAGUCUCUCACCGCUCUUCAGCCUCUGGGCCUUUCCUUCUUCCUCUCUUGCCCUCAUUCUUCCUUCUCUGUCCCUCUUGUCUUCUCUUUUACCUCUUCUCUUCUUCCCUCCUUCCUACAGCUAUGCCCUCUUCCCUCCUUUCUCUUGUCCCCAACCAGGGCAUUAGAAAUGCAUUCCAGUUACACUGAUCUGAUCACUGCAUAUUGUAUGCAUGCAUCAAAAUAUCACAUGUACCCCAGAAAUAUGUAAAUUACUGCAUAUCAAUAAAAAGAAAUGUAGCUUCUUUGCCUCACAUACAGAAAAGCCAAUCUGAAGUAUAAAUAAAUAAACAAACAAAUAAAUAAAACGAACCACACUGGCCCCCCCGCCGCCUCCCAGCCAUCAUCUGGGCCUGCCACUAUUUGCUCAGGGUAUCUAAACAUCAGCCAAAAUCAAAGAAAAAGUUUUAAAAUCUAUUGUUAAAAAUUUCCAAGGCUAAGUUGACAUGCAUGUACAAUAGCAUUUCCCAAACUGUG
rnacentral:lncRNA from 1 species